ACAAAAAAAAAACCAAAAAAAAAAGUCUUAAUUUGUUUCUUGUUCUUCUUCUUCUCUCUGUCGUUUGUUCUCUUGAUCUUUGAUCUCUGUGUUAUAUGUUGUAGCAAAAGAAGUAAACAACACACACAUAUAUAAAUAUUUGUAAGAUAUAUAUAUAUAUAUAUAUGAUCAUGGGUUUUCUUCACAAGCUUUGGGACGAAACGCUGGCGGGUCCGGCACCGGAAACGGGUCUGGGGAAGCUCCGAAAGUACAAUUCGUUCUCCGGCGGAAUCUCCGUCCGGUCAACGGUGGCGGAGGCAGUUCCGAUAAGUCGCAGCAUCACCAUUGUUCGGUCCCAGUCUGGUUUCGGAAGCACCACCACCUCUGCUUCUUCUUCUCCUUCUGGAUCUACCACCCCUCGCUCCCCCUUAACUCCGGAGGCACCAGGCGGUGAUUUCAAGAAGUUCACGAGGAGAAAAUCGUCAACAGUGGAGAGUGCCGAUAAUACAUAAUAGAAGUCCGACUAUUUACGAUUGGGUGAUUAUGAGUGCUUUGGAUCGUUGUUGAGAGGGGAAAUGAGAUGUUUUGGCUUUGAAAUUUGAAUAGCAUUCGGCAGAGACAGAGGGAUUACGUUUAAUUUCUGUACACACGGCAACACAGAUUCCAAAUUCCAAAAGGGAAUCAUCAAUCAUAUCAUAAUAUGUAUGGCAACUUAUUAUAAUGUAUAGUAUUAUAUAGUAUAUAGUAUAUAGUACAUAGUACUAUCAUAUUAUGUAAAUAUGAGUACCUACCAAUAAAAUGGCUCGGAUGAUGCAGGGUCUUUUUUCAGCAGAUUGAGCCAAUGCUUCAUGGGAUUCUGCGGAUGUAAAGGAGUAGAGACAGCUUCUGUAUAUUUGUAUAUAUGGUUUUAACUUGUUUUUCGUUUUCUGAGUUUUUGGCUGUUGUAAAUAUGAAUUCUGUACUCUGAAAUCUCUAUCAGUUGAAAUCAAUGAAGCUUGAAAGUAGUUAUUAUAUAUAUGUUAA